ACUUCCUCUCAGGAUGUGGCUGUAGGGCUCACACAAAAAAACCACGCUUAAUGUAAGUUUGUUGGUCACAAAAUUAAGAGACAGGGAGAGAGAGAAAAAAAGAGCUGAGAGAAUGCAGCCCACUUGCAAAAACAGGCACCUGUUUCAGUAUGAAGCAAUAGGGAGAAUGAAGUGUGCUUCCUCACUUCUUGUACUUUCCUUGAUGAGUGGUCUGGAAAUGUAUAAAUCAAGGGCAUACACAGACCAAGGGGGCAUGUUCCACACAAUACUGGGCACAGAAUUGGCAACCGUAUCAUAUAUUAGACAUCAGUGAAUAUCUUCUUGAUGUUGACACAGGAGUUGGGGUUAUUGUUCGUGGUGCAAGUGGCUGUGGAGUUGCCCGUUUUGAAGGGGGUCUGCGGGAAGGCGCUGUGGUUCAUACCCCCCUCUUCGAUCACCAUAUACUCCGACUUACUCAGAGUGGAGUUACUCCGGGCUUUUCGGAGCUCCUCGGCUGAAGAGGAGAGGUGCUGGCAACUGCCCACGUGCAUGUACUGGGCUUGCUCUUCCCCUUCUGUCUCCCGGUGGUAGAAGUAGUUGAAGUUGGAAACAAUCACAGGAACUGGCAAUGCAAUGGUCAAGACACCUGCGAUGGCACAAAGAGAGCCCACAAUCUUGCCUCCUAUGGUCACUGGGUGCAUAUCACCAUAACCAACAGUUGUCAUGGUUACUACUGCCCACCAGAAGGCAUCCGGGAUACUGUUAAAACCCGAAGAAGGGUCG
rnacentral:lncRNA from 1 species